GACAGAGGAGGCAAGCGUUGUUCGGAAUCAUUGGGCUUAAAGGGCGUGUAGGCGGUAGCGUAAGUGUCUUGUGAAAUCCCACGGCUCAACCGUGGAACUGCUUGGCAUACUGCGUUACUUGAGGUCGGUAGAGGUGCCUGGAACUCUAGGUGGAGCGGUGAAAUGCGUAGAUAUCUAGAGGAACGCCUGAGGCGAAAGCGGGGCACUGGGCCGAUUCUGACGCUGAGACGCGAAAGCGUGGGGAGCAAACAGG
rnacentral:rRNA from 1 species